GUCCUCACUUCUCCUCACUUCUCUUUUCUUUCUUUUUCUUCUUUUUCAUUUCUGUCUAGCACUUCUCUUCACUCCCUCAUCCUCUCCCACGGUACUCACUCCAAAUCAACAUCUCCACCACCAUUUUUCUGGCAAGAUCACCGGAAAAUUCUUGUGAACCCAUAAACACCUUCACAUCUUUUUUUUGAGGUUUGCUUGAUGUUGUUGAGGUUCUAGCUAAUCUCCUUUGGAGCUUGGAGAAUUAGGUUUUUGCGUUUGCGAGUCUUUGUGACAAUGGAAUUAAAUCCAGGUCAGUGCUCUUUCACUUUGGAUGACGCAUUCUUCCCUGCUGCCUAUGGAGGGAAGAGGUUUCUUAAUUGUGUGUGGGUAAGGCUACUGCCCAUGGGGCCAAGAGACCACAUGCAAGAGAGGUCCUGUUUGACGCGCUCUCUCUGCUGCCCAU